rnacentral:rRNA from 1 species
CCUACGGGCGGCUGCAGUGGGGAAUAUCGCACAAUGGGCGCAAGCCUGAUGCAGCCAUGCCGCGUGUGUGAAGAAGGCCUUCGGGUUGUAAAGCACUUUCAGCGGGGAGGAAGGCGGUGAGGUUAAUAACCUCAUCGAUCGACGUUACCCGCAGAAGAAGCACCGGCUAACUCCGUGCCAGCAGCCGCGGUAAUACGGAGGGUGCAAGCGUUAAUCGGAAUUACUGGGCGUAAAGCGCACGCAGGCGGUCUGUCAAGUCGGAUGUGAAAUCCCCGGGCUCAACCUGGGAACUGCAUUCGAAACUGGCAGGCUAGAGUCUUGUAGAGGGGGGUAGAAUUCCAGGUGUAGCGGUGAAAUGCGUAGAGAUCUGGAGGAAUACCGGUGGCGAAGGCGGCCCCCUGGACAAAGACUGACGCUCAGGUGCGAAAGCGUGGGGAGCAAACAGGAUUAGAUACCCCAGUAGUC